GCGCUGGUAUUAUAGUGGCUAAGGAGUUCGGUUACUACCUGAAAAGUUGUGGGUUCAAUUCCCAGCUGCCACC
rnacentral:tRNA from 1 species